AAAAGAUGGUGUCGUCACUUCGCUCUGAAUGACACUCUCUCUAUGCUAGUAUAUAACUCUAUGAUCCAAACCACGUGACCUCUGGUUGGCUCACAAGGUGUCACAAACUAACGAAGAGGUUAUGUUUGUAUCAAUGAUUUUUCAUUGUUUAUCGUCGUAUUUUGUCUAUUUUGGAUGCAUUUGGAUUUCGUUUCCUGUUUUUGUGAACUUUAUAAACUUUACCACAAUGCAAACUGAUUAUUUAAGGAAAUUAUUAUUGGAAACUCCAGAUGUUGCGAGAAAGAUAUUUAUUGAAGCUGAAAAUUUGGGGAUUUAGAUCCAUACGCAAUUCAGUCAGAAUUGGAUUUUACAGUAAAGUGCAGACCAUUAAGUUACUAUUAUAGAUAUUUAUACAUAUCUGGUGGAAUCUCGCAGUUGCUACUCUAAGCAGCAGAUGAAAGCAUACAAAAGCCUUCAGGCACAUAAAUAUUUGACAGCUGGAUUUGUUUUGAAUGGAGUAAAAAUUGUUAAUGAUUUCCUGAUUUUCAUAUUAUUGUUGGAAAGGUGAAGCAUUUCCAAAAAUCUAAUGCUAAAUGACUAAAUGCUUGGGUGGGGUGAUAGCCAGUUCUGAUGACAUAGCAAAUGCAGAUUGUAUGUGUAUGGCCGGUAAUAGUGAAGUCUGCAGAAAUCCUAUUUUUAGCUGAGUAUGCCCAGAGCAAGAAAGACAAAGAAGAACCCAAUGCAUGUACAUAUGUUACAGCUACAUGGUUUGGAGAUAGCAACAUAUGCAUUCUCUGAUGAAAAACUAAUGAGUUUUGAAACUGUUCAGUCAGAGUGCUUCUUGUGCUCACUAAACGAACUGAAAUAUAAGAUGGCUUUGGCAUUGUGUUGCAGCGAUAUGAAAAUGGUUAUUCAUUUUUAAUUAUAAUGUACUUCUUCAUCAUGAGUAAUUAUGUAUUGGUCUUUUAAAUGUGUAUUUAUUUUUGUAAUUAGUAUCAACUUGUAAUGAUAAUAUACAUUUAUCGUUUAAGGUAUGACUAUGUUUUGACUCUAAAAUAAAUGAUUUAAAAAUCGAA